CGAUGCCGCGCAGGAAUGUGAAAGGCUCCCGCCCGCCGCCAUUUUCUUUCUUUCUUGGCAGGCAGCGAGUGGGGCAGGAAGCGGUGGCUGAGCGAGUAUGGCGGACUAUUCCACGGUGCCCCCUCCUGCUUCGGGCGCGCCUGGCGGAGGCGGCGGUGGAGGUGGAGGAGUGAACGAUGCCUUUAAAGACGCGCUGCAGAGGGCUAGGCAGAUUGCAGCAAAAAUUGGAGGAGAUGCUGGCACAUCAAUGAAUUCAAACGACUAUGGUUAUGGAGGACAAAAAAGACCUCUUGAAGAUGGAGAUGGCUCUUGGACAAGUCCGAGCAGUACAACACACUGGGAGGGAAUGCCCUCUCCUUUUAAAGAUCAACCAGAUGCUAAGAAAGUUGCUCCUCAGAAUGACUCUUUUGGAAAUCAGCUGCCACCAAUGCAUCAACAACAAAGGUCUGUGAUGUCAGAGGAGUACAAAGUUCCAGAUGGGAUGGUUGGAUUCAUUAUUGGCAGAGGUGGAGAGCAGAUCUCACGCAUACAACAAGAGUCUGGCUGUAAAAUACAGAUUGCGCCUGAUAGUGGAGGCCUGCCAGAAAGAUCAUGUAUGCUAACUGGAACACCAGAGUCUGUUCAAUCAGCAAAAAGAUUGCUUGAUCAGAUAGUUGAAAAGGGAAGACCUGCACCUGGUUUUCAUCAUGGUGAUGGACCUGGAAAUGCAGUUCAAGAAAUUAUGAUUCCAGCAAGUAAAGCAGGAUUAGUUAUUGGAAAAGGUGGAGAGACAAUUAAACAAUUACAGGAGCGGGCAGGUGUCAAAAUGGUCAUGAUUCAAGAUGGUCCACAGAACACUGGUGCUGACAAGCCCCUUAGGAUAACUGGAGACCCUUAUAAAGUUCAACAAGCCAAGGAAAUGGUGCUGGAGUUAAUUCGUGAUCAAGGUGGCUUUAGAGAGGUGCGCAACGAAUAUGGGUCAAGAAUAGGAGGAAAUGAAGGGAUAGACGUUCCAAUACCACGAUUUGCUGUAGGUAUUGUAAUUGGGAGAAAUGGAGAGAUGAUUAAAAAAAUACAGAAUGAUGCAGGAGUCAGGAUUCAGUUUAAGCCAGAUGAUGGAACAACUCCAGAUAGAAUAGCUCAAAUCACAGGGCCUCCUGACAGAUGUCAACAUGCUGCAGAAAUUAUAACAGAUCUCCUUCGAAGUGUUCAGGCUGGUAACCCAGGUGGACCGGGACCUGGUGGUCGAGGAAGGGGUAGAGGCCAAGGCAACUGGAACAUGGGGCCUCCUGGUGGAUUACAGGAAUUCAAUUUUAUUGUUCCCACUGGCAAAACUGGAUUAAUCAUUGGCAAAGGUGGAGAAACUAUUAAAAGCAUAAGCCAGCAGUCUGGUGCUAGAAUAGAACUUCAAAGAAAUCCUCCACCUAAUGCAGAUCCAAACAUGAAGAUGUUUACUAUCCGUGGAACACCUCAGCAAAUAGAUUAUGCACGACAACUUAUAGAAGAAAAGAUUGGAGGUCCGGUAAAUCCAUUGGGUCCACCUGUUCCACAUGGACCGCAUGGUGUUGUUCCUGGCCCACAUGGACCUCCUGGGCCACCAGGUCCUGGUGCUCCUAUGGGGCCAUAUAACCCAGCUCCUUAUAAUCCAGGGCCUCCUGGCCCUGCACCUCAUGGUCCUCCAGCUCCGUAUGCUCCACAAGGAUGGGGAAAUGCUUAUCCACAUUGGCAGCCACCAAAUCCACCAGAUCCGGGUAAACCAGGAACAGACCCAAAUUCAGCAGCAUGGGCAGCUUAUUAUGCUCACUACUAUCAGCAGCAAGCACAGCCACCACCUGCCGCCCCUCCUGGUGGACCAGCUACAACCCAAACUAAUGGACAAGGAGAUCAGCCAAAUCCAGCACCAGCAGGGCAGGUUGACUAUACCAAGGCCUGGGAGGAGUACUACAAAAAAAUGGGUCAAGCAGUUCCCGCCCCCACUGGGGCCCCACCGGGCGGGCAGCCGGAUUACAGUGCAGCAUGGGCUGAGUACUACAGGCAGCAGGCAGCGUAUUACGCCCAGACCAGUCCACAGGGAAUGCCACAGCAUCCUCCUGCACCACAGUGCAGGUUUGAUCCAGCCAGUAUAGAACUAGCUCUGUAGGGGUGAGGAGGACUGUGCUGUGUAUCAUCCUUGAUUGUUCCUUCAAGGAGCAUUGCACUUGCCUUCCCAGACCUUCCACCUUAGGUUCUGCUGCAAAAAAGCAACAGUGCUGAAGAUGCUGCAAGCACCAAAUCAUAGCUCAUAGAAUCAGGUCCUGAGAUAGUUACUACCAGUAAAGAGGAAUCCUUUGAGUGUAUGCCAUUGGUGAGCCGAUGAGCAUGGACCAUAGAAGGGCUCCAUGUGGAAGGUAAAAUUGGCAAAAACAUAACAGAUUUGAAAUGUAUCCCAUACAUAAUGGUGUAGGGUAUAAUUUUUGUUUUGAUCACGUUUUCGUUCUUUAAAGUAUUACUUGUUUGACCAUAAAUGUUCCAUAAUCUGUUAAGUUUUUUAAACUGUGAUUUAGUAAUAUAAGCCAUCUAUUUUAAUUGCUAUUCUUCUAAACAGCAAAGCUUAGAUUAUAUUGAAUUUUUGAACUAAAUAGUUGUGCCUCAGUUUCUCAAGUCACUUAAUAUUUCAUCUGCAGUUUAAUAUGUAACUUCAUUUUUGAAAUGAGAAAAGGUUAGAUAUGUACCAUUUGCAUUUUGAUACUGUGAAUUUAGAGUUGGGGUGAGUUUAUUUGUUCAAUUCCUUUUCACGAUACUUUUUCCUUCAACUGUUGUUCCUAAAAUAUCUUGAACAGUUUUUCAAUUGUAAAUUUAGCCAGUGGGAGGAGAUAGAGAAGAAGCCAAUUUAUUGGAAAGUUGCCAGAUGAGAUGAUCUUGUGUGUAGCACUUGAGGUGUAUUGACUUCCAGCUUUCUCACUGCUGAGCUUACAGGUGUGCUAUUUUGUGCUAAGCAUAGUGUUUGUUUUUCAACUCUGCAAACUCAUAGCUCUUGGGAGAACAGAAAAUAGAUUAUUGGAGUUAUGCUGAUCCAAAAAGAUAACUAGACUUCCUCAGAAAUGCAGUAACCUGUCCAAAAUAUGUCUUUAAAUGUUUCUUGCUUUUUUCCCCCCCUCUUGAGUCCCACAAAUUUAAGUAAAAUGUGAAGAGUACAAAAAGUUUUUAAAGGAAGCGUAAUGUUUUAAGUAGGAAAAGCAUUUUUCGUUAUCACUUUCUGCAGCCUAUACUUUAGUAGGACAUGAAGUAAAAUGUCAGAUGGAUAAUCUUCAGUCUGACUUUAUGAUCAAGUCAUCUAUUCAGGUUGUCCAGGUAGACAGGAUCAUUAUUCACUUGCACAGCCUAUCUUGAAGUGUUUCAUCUUUUUACUAGUGGUAUUUCAUUGGAUGACAGAAACUUCUCUUCCAAAGUAUUUUUUAAGUUUUCCAUUGCAUGUUGAAAGCCUUUUUUUUUUUUUUUUUUGCUUUUUUUCUGGAAGUGAGGGGAGGGAGGAAGGGAGGACUGGGCUUCUCAGAAAGCAUACAGUUGACAGGAUUCCCUCUUCCCUAGUAAUAGCUUAUAAAACUCGUAUGUAUGCACAAAUAUGUCUUGCGUGCAUGUGAAAUGCCUUUUCGUCCUGAGAAAAGUGUUCUCUGCAGAAACUACCCGUGUGUAAAAAGAAGAUUGGCUUUAAAAGGCAACUGUGAUGGGAACAGUGUCUUAGGGAGAUGCAGCUUGGACUUGAGGUAAAUUGAAUGCUUUACAAAAAUGUGGUUUUGAGUUUGCAUUGACAUUGUAUGUAAUAUGGGUACACAUUAACUGUAUAAUGUUUUUGUAUGGUUUUUCUCAAUAAAUGUAAACUG